AUGCAGUUUAUCGAUGACAGUGUGCCUUACUUCCCGGAGUCAGACCCUGGGAGACUAGAAAGAAGGCAGAGGGCACUGAUCCCAUGCCCCGUGUUCUUCAGAUGCCAGUUCUUCACUCGCAGGCUGAAGUGUUACAUUUGGAAAAGCUUCAUGAAAAUUUGUGCUCAGAAGUUGGAUUCUCUCAAGGAAGAUUCUAUCACCUGUAGUGGAGUGCAGCACCUGAGAGAAAUGAGUAGGUCUUGCCAGAUACUUCUCAGAACAUAGGAAUGAGGAUUCUCUGAUAGCGUUCUAGCGUUCUGUGUCAUCCAGUUGAUGACACAGAACCAAUGGGCUACAGGCAGCAUGUCUUCCAUGUUGGCAGUGAAAGGAGAGGUAUGUAUGUCCAAAGAGUUUUCUGUUUCUUAAUUACCAAGCUUGCUGACUUGCCAGUGUAGCAAUUUGACAGUUUACUAUUGAUCUCCUUUAAGCUGAUAGUUUUGCAUAAAUACUUUGCAUAGUCAUUAAGCCUUUUCCUGUAUUUGGCUGUGUAAUUCUGUAUUAUACCUGAUUCCUUUUCAUUGAAAGACCAAAAAAAAAAAAAAAAAAGGCAGUGAAUGAAUCUGUAUUCCCUUGUGACUUCUAAUUUGUUAAGUUUUUCUUUUUGCAAAAUACAGAAGACAUCAUUCAUUCAAUAUAUAUGGAAUGUGCUGACAGUCAUCUAAAAAUAGAUAUAUAAUUUCUUAUGAAAAUAUCCUUUUUUAAGUAAUCUCUUUUGGUUUUAAUAUGACUUAGAUAAAAUUACUAUGUAUUAGGUGUAGGUGAAUGGUCAUUCAAUCAAUUCACAUUUAUUCAUAGUUCAGAGGCUUUGGACACUGUCCUAAAUUCUGAGCACAAUAAAAUGAAUGUAUUUAAACUUGAUUAGUUUAGA
rnacentral:lncRNA from 12 species